rnacentral:rRNA from 1 species
AACGAACGCUGGCGGCGUGCCUAAUACAUGCAAGUCGAACGCAGUGGGGACGGGUGAGUACAACGUGGGUAACCUCCCAUCAGAGGGGAUAACACUUGGAAACAGGUGCUAAAACUGAUACUGGUGGAUGGACCCGCGGUGCAUUAGCUAGUUGGUGGGGUAACGGCUCACCAAGGCCACGAUGCAUAGCUGACCUGAGAGGGUGAUCGGCCACACUGGGACUGAGACACGGCCCAGACUCCUACGGGAGGCAGCAGUAGGGAAUCUUCGGCAAUGGGCGAAAGUCUGACCGAGCAACGCCGCGUGAGUGAAGAAGGUUUUCGGAUCGUAAAACUCUGUUGUUAGAGAAGCGGUAUCUAACCAGAAAGCCACGGCUAACUACGUGCCAGCAGCCGCGGUAAUUC